rnacentral:lncRNA from 1 species
UUAAUGAAGUCCCCUCUCAGUUGCCUCUUCACCCACUCAGCCUUUCUUCACAAUGCUCCUUAACGAUCUUUGUUGCCCUCUGCUGGCCCCCAGGUUUGGGGUGUCGGAAGUCAGUAAUAAACAGGGGUGGGAGUGGAGUAUUGAUGUGUGAGGGGAAGGUAGGAGGGUGGAAGGAUGGAAAAGGAAAAAAAGGUGUCCGGGGGAGAGUAGUCUGAAUUGGGUUAUGGGGCGCUGCCCCACCUCACCCAUUGGACUCAGCGCGCAGGCCGUGAGUCUGUCUCAAAGCACCGCGGGGCCACGAGCAUCCGCCGGGGUUCGCGGGGGAACCGCUGCGGCUUCUCCUGCCCGGGCCGGCCCGCGCGGCGCCCCCCCUUGCUGGUGGCUCACCCGCCCGUCGCGGGCGGGGCCCUGCUGGGGCCGCGGGCGGCCCUUCCCUCAGACCUUCCCCGAGGCGGGGCGCGGGUGACGCGCACCCCGUGGCUGGCCUCGGCAGUGAGCUUCCCCCGGACGCCUGCAAGGACGUUUCGGGUUACUUAUAUAGCCUCACUUAGGCGACUUUUUCAGCUCAGGGGCUGCUUGGCUCCCAGGACCACAGAGCUGGAAGUGACAGGCCGAGCCCAGGAUGCUGUGCUGGGGCACUGCAGUGAUGCUGCAUUGGUGCCUCCCCACAGGAGGGUUCAGUCCCCUCAGGAUGGUCUGCUCAAGGGUGUAGAGAAGCUUCCCCAGCUCACAUCUCCCCAAGCAGGUUGCAGACGGCAAGACAACCUUCCAAACACCUCAAAGCAGAAGGAACAAUUGCUACCCAAGCUCUGGCCAAGUUCUCCGAAGAAGGAAAGAGACCCAAGUGUUGCAACAUCCCUUAAAGCUCUCUGAGAAGUGAUGACCGAAAUCUCCUGGAGUCUGGCCCAUGCUGCGCUCCCAAACCUCAGGUUCCCUGUCGCUUCUGGCAGCUCUCUUGCGCACAGGGCUUCUGCUGUGAUGCUGGAUGGAGACCACACCUCAGAGGCUGUGCCUGUGUUUAUCUUCUCUCCUGGAUGCCAACGUGACAGUGGUACCAAGAAGCCCCUGCUCAGGCUAGAGACCCAGUGCCAGAUGCUGUGUGUUCUGAUGGAAGGAGUGGGAGCCAGCCUUGGAGAACCAUGCAGGAAGAGCCCAGGCCCUGACUUGGAGUGCUCUGUGCUCCAGGGCUUCUGCUCCUCUGUUAUGUUCCAAAUCCCCAACCCUUCUUGCUCCAGAACUUCUGAAGUGCACCUCCCACCUCCCUGA